rnacentral:rRNA from 1 species
GACGAACGCUGGCGGCGUGCUUAACACAUGCAAGUCGAACGGAAAGGCCCUGCUUUUGUGGGGUGCUCGAGUGGCGAACGGGUGAGUAACACGUGAGUAACCUGCCCUUGACUUUGGGAUAACUUCAGGGAACUGGGGCUAAUACCGGAUAGGAGCUCCUGCUGCAUGGUGGGGGUUGGAAAGUUUCGGCGGUUGGGGAUGGACUCGCGGCUUAUCAGCUUGUUGGUGGGGUAGUGGCUUACCAAGGCUUUGACGGGUAGCCGGCCUGAGAGGGUGACCGGCCACAUUGGGACUGAGAUACGGCCCAGACUCCUACGGGAGGCAGCAGUGGGGAAUAUUGCACAAUGGGCGGAAGCCUGAUGCAGCAACGCCGCGUGCGGGAUGACGGCCUUCGGGUUGUAAACCGCUUUCGCCUGUGACGAAGCGUGAGUGACGGUAAUGGGUAAAGAAGCACCGGCUAACUACGUGCCAGCAGCCGCGGUGAUACGUAGGGUGCGAGCGUUGUCCGGAUUUAUUGGGCGUAAAGGGCUCGUAGGUGGUUGAUCGCGUCGGAAGUGUAAUCUUGGGGCUUAACCCUGAGCGUGCUUUCGAUACGGGUUGACUUGAGGAAGGUAGGGGAGAAUGGAAUUCCUGGUGGAGCGGUGGAAUGCGCAGAUAUCAGGAGGAGCACCAGUGGCGAAGGCGGUUCUCUGGGCCUUUCCUGACGCUGAGGAGCGAAAGCGUGGGGAGCGAACAGGCUUAGAUACCCUGGUAGUCCACGCUGUAAACGGUGGGUACUAGGUGUGGGGUCCAUUCCACGGGUUCCGUGCCGUAGCUAACGCUUUAAGUACCCCGCCUGGGGAGUACGGCCGCAAGGCUAAAACUCAAAGGAAUUGACGGGGCCCCGCACAAGCGGCGGAGCAUGCGGAUUAAUUCGAUGCAACGCGUAGAACCUUACCUGGGUUUGACAUGGAUCGGGAGCGCUCAGAGAUGGGUGUGCCUCUUUUGGGGUCGGUUCACAGGUGGUGCAUGGCUGUCGUCAGCUCGUGUCGUGAGAUGUUGGGUUAAGUCCCGCAACGAGCGCAACCCUUGUUCACUGUUGCCAGCACGUUAUGGUGGGGACUCAGUGGAGACCGCCGGGGUCAACUCGGAGGAAGGUGGGGAUGACGUCAAGUCAUCAUGCCCCUUAUGUCCAGGGCUUCACGCAUGCUACAAUGGCUGGUACAGAGAGUGGCGAGCCUGUGAGGGUGAGCGAAUCUCGGAAAGCCGGUCUCAGUUCGGAUUGGGGUCUGCAACUCGACCUCACGAAGUCGGAGUCGCUAGUAAUCGCAGAUCAGCAACGCUGCGGUGAAUACGUUCCCGGGGCU